AUGCACGCUAGCGGGAGGCUUCACCCAUGCAAGCCGAGGGGUAUAGUUCUUUCGGGAACUAGAGACCGGCGCACGGGUGCGUAACGCGUAUGCAACUUGCCCUACUGAAAAGGAUAGCCCUUCGAAAGGAGGAUUAAUACUUUAUAACAGAUUUAAUGGCAUCAUUAGAUUUUGAAAGAUUUAUCGCAGUAGGAUAGGCAUGCGUAAGAUUAGUUAGUUGGUGAGGUAACGGCUCACCAAGACGAUGAUCUUUAGGGGGCCUGAGAGGGUGAACCCCCACACUGGUACUGAGACACGGACCAGACUCCUACGGGAGGCAGCAGUGAGGAAUAUUGGACAAUGGGUGGAAGCCUGAUCCAGCCAUCCCGCGUGUAGGAUGACGGCCUUAUGGGUUGUAAACUACUUUUAUCUGGGGAUAAACCUACUUACGUGUAAGUAGCUGAAGGUACCAGAAGAAUAAGCACCGGCUAACUCCGUG
rnacentral:rRNA from 1 species